rnacentral:rRNA from 1 species
AUUGAACGCUAGCGGGAUGCUUUACACAUGCAAGUCGAACGGCAGCGCGGACUUCGGUCUGGCGGCGAGUGGCGAACGGGUGAGUAAUGUAUCGGAACGUGCCCAGUAGCGGGGGAUAACUACGCGAAAGCGUAGCUAAUACCGCAUACGCCCUACGGGGGAAAGCAGGGGAUCGUAAGACCUUGCACUAUUGGAGCGGCCGAUAUCGGAUUAGCUAGUUGGUGAGGUAACGGCUCACCAAGGCGACGAUCCGUAGCUGGUUUGAGAGGACGACCAGCCACACUGGGACUGAGACACGGCCCAGACUCCUACGGGAGGCAGCAGUGGGGAAUUUUGGACAAUGGGGGCAACCCUGAUCCAGCCAUCCCGCGUGUGCGAUAAAGGCCUUCGGGUUGUAAAGCACUUUUGGCAGGAAAGAAACGUCGCGGGCUAAUACCCCGUGGAACUGACGGUACCUGCAGAAUAAGCACCGGCUAACUACGUG